rnacentral:rRNA from 1 species
GGAAAUAGCGUGCUUACCAUGCAAGUCGAACGAUGAACCCGAAGCUUGCUUUGGGGGAUUAGUGGCGAACGGGUGAGUAACACGUGAGCAACCUGCCCCUCACUCUGGGAUAAGCGCUGGAAACGGCGUCUAAUACUGGAUACGAGACGCGACCGCAUGGUCAGUGUCUGGAAAGAUUUUUUGGUGGGGGAUGGGCUCGCGGCCUAUCAGCUUGUUGGUGAGGUAAUGGCUCACCAAGGCGUCGACGGGUAGCCGGCCUGAGAGGGUGACCGGCCACACUGGGACUGAGACACGGCCCAGACUCCUACGGGAGGCAGCAGUGGGGAAUAUUGCACAAUGGGCGGAAGCCUGAUGCAGCAACGCCGCGUGAGGGAUGACGGCCUUCGGGUUGUAAACCUCUUUUAGCAGGGAAGAAGCGAAAGUGACGGUACCUGCAGAAAAAGCACCGGCUAACUACGUGCCAGCAGCGGCGGUAAUACUGA